AUGGACGAGUGCCUCACUGUCCCCUCAGGAGUACAUGGCGAAGAGCAGCGGAGAAGUGUUCACUACGAAGUUGGUGCUGUAUCUGUUCACGCACGUGCCCUGUGGAGGCUGGAGACACUGAGGGUUGCGAAACUCCAGUGCGAAAAGAUACCUGCAUCCCAGUAUUCAUAGCACCACUAUAUACAACAGUCAAGACAUGGAAGCAACCUAUAGAAGCAACAGAUGACUGGAUAAAGAAGAUGUGGCGUAUUUCUACAAUGGAAUACUACUCUGCCAUAAAAAGGGAUAAAAUAAUGCCAUUUGCAGCAACAUGAAUGGACAUAGAGAUCGUCAUUCUAAGUGAAGUGAGCCAUAAAGAGAAAGAAAAAUACUGUAUGAUACUACUGAUAUGUGCAAUGUUAAAAAAAAAAGACACUAGGAAUUCAUCUACAAAACAGAAAGAGACUUGCAGACUUAGUAAAUAAUUGUAUGGUUGUAUGGUCACCAGGGAAAGGAGGUGGGAAGGGAUAAAUUUGGGAGUUUUUAUAUAUGGUGGCUAACAUUUACACAUGUUAACCACUAUAUAUAAAAAUAGAUUAAAAAAAUGCUUCUUAUGUAUAGCACAGAAACAUAUGUUCAGUAUCUGGUAGUAACCUGUAAUGGAAAAGCUGCUACAACCACCAACUGAGGAAGCAAGAAAAGAAAGGAGAGGUAGUUAUCCCGGGCUAGAGCCCAGUCCUGGGAAAGUCCUUGACUGCUGCUGAUGCUGCCCCCUCAAUGCACUGCGCCCUCCUCCCAGGAGCAGGCUGACAUGAAGACAUGCAUCCUGUGAACCUGGGGUAGCAGAGGCCGCCCCCAGGACAGGCCCUAGGACAGAUGGGAGCUAGUCCACCUGCUGAGGGAGGGCAGCACCCCUCCCUGUAGCCGCCCUCUGACUGCACGGUGCCUACCUCCCUGUGGCCUCUGUAACAUUGCUUUUGGUUUUGUUUUGACAUAGGAAGAGCUAAGCGUCUCCCUUCUGGCUGUGGCUUCACACUUAGAACAGCAGUGCCUACCCCAAGAUUAUGCACAGAGUUAGUAUAGUUACUAAAAGGGCUUCAUUUUGUGCAUCUCAUCUUUAAUCCAUCUGGAUUUUCCCUCUCAAUACAAAAAUGCGAAUUCAUGUAAAAAAUAAUUCACCAGUCCCUGCUUCAGAUAUGUAGGCAGACACAAAAAGCCACCUUUUGUAUGAAUUCUUUGAUAGGGAAUCUCCAGGAUGGGUGGAGAGAGAGAGAAAGAGAAUGGGGAUUAGGCCUUGUCUUGGGCUGGGGGAGGGAGGACAUGGGUUGUGCUUUGGAUACAAGCUUUUACGUUGAGGAAGGAAGUAGUCUGAAACCAGACAGUGGUGUUGGUCUCACAGCAUUGUAAAUGCAUUUAAUGCUCUUGAAUUGCACAAUUUAAAAUGGAAAAAGGCUGAACUUCAUAAUUGUAAACUUAAACCAUAAAAAUAGAAUAUACUGUAAAAGAAAAUAAGAAAUUGACUCCAUAUUAGAUAUGCUCUUUUGGCUUAAACACUGCCUUGUUUUCUAGGCUUAGUCUUGCUAGCUCUGCACCUUUUGUAAAACAAUGUUGCCUUUAGCCUGAAAUAGACAGGAGAGCCUAUUCUCAAGGCUCUGACCUUGAAGGAUAUUAACCCUUUUGCACUAACAUAAAGACAACCAUUUGCAGAAUAGAAAAUAACAUUUAUUUUGUUAGAGGUUUUACAGGGCCAGCAUGACCUGACCAACGUGGACAGCUGCAGACCAAGUUAAUGGCAGACUUACGUCCUGGAGAACCAUCUUCCCCAAGUCAGACUGCAGGCUCCUUUUCUAGUAAAAGGGGGAGGGGAUGUGGUUGGUUGUUGCAAACUUCUUGGUGUAGGACUUUUCAUGUUCUUGGAAUCCUUUGCAGCUGUCCACAUGGGUCAGGUCACGGUGCCCCUGUAAAACCUCCAACAAAACAAAGGUUAUUUUCUAUUUUGCAACUUGUUAUCUUUAUAGGAGUGCAAAAGUGUUAAUAUCCUUAAAGGUCAGAGCCUUGAGAAUAGGCUCUCCUGUGUAUUUCAGGCUAAAGGCAACAUUGUUUUACACAAGGUGCAGAGCUGGCAAGACUGAGCCUAGAAAACAGGACAGAGUGUUAAAAUAAAAGGAACAGAUCUAAUACGGAGUCAGAUUUUUUCUACUACGUAGUGCCUUGGUAAGAGGUAAGAGGAUAUUUCUGAGUGGGGCUUCCUCUGCCUCAGGUUGGGGUUCACGCAGGAGCCCUGCCAGGUUCACCAUAACUGUGGACCUGAUCUCCUAUUAUAAUUACCUAUCAAAGUCCCUUCAAUUGCCUGUAA